rnacentral:sRNA from 1 species
UACGAGCUAGCCUCCGAAUGAACUCCU